rnacentral:rRNA from 1 species
AGGAUGAACGCUGGCGGCGUGCUUAACACAUGCAAGUCGAACGAUGAAGGCUGGAGCUUGCUCUGGCUGGAUUAGUGGCGAACGGGUGAGUAACACGUGAGUAACCUGCCCCAGACUCUGGGAUAAGCGCUGGAAACGGCGUCUAAUACCGGAUACGAGCUUCCACCGCAUGGUGAGGAGCUAGGGAAAGAAUUUCGGUCUGGGAUGGACUCGCGGCCUAUCAGCUUGUUGGUGAGGUAUGGCUCACCGAAGGCGACGACGGGUAGCCGGCCUGAGAGGGUGACCGGCCACGCGUGGGACUGGAGACACGGCCCAGACCUCGUACGGGAGCAGCAGGUGGGAAUGU